rnacentral:rRNA from 1 species
UCCAAGUUAUAUGCUUGUCUCAAAGAUUAAGCCAUGCAUGUCUCAGUGCAAGCCGUAUUAGGGCGAUACCGCGAAUGGCUCAAUAUAUCAGUUUUGGUUCCUUAGAUCUUACUCAGUUACUUGGAUAACUGUGGUAAUUCUAGAGCUAAUACAUGCAAUCAGAACUCUGACCAGUGAUGGGACGAGUGCUUUUAUUAGAUCAAAACCAAUCGACGGAGGGCCUCGCGUUCGAAGUCGUUAAUUUUGAUGAAUCUGGAUAACUUUUGCCGAUCGCACGGUCCAGCACCGGCGACGCAUCUUUCAAAUGUCUGCCUUAUCAACUUUCGAUGGUAGUUUCUGCGACUACCAUGGUUGUCACGGGUAACGGGGAAUCAGGGUUCGAUUCCGGAGAGGGAGCCUGAGAAACGGCUACCACAUCCAAGGAAGGCAGCAGGCGCGCAAAUUACCCACUCCCGGCACGGGGAGGUAGUGACGAAAAAUAACGAUACGGGACUCUUACGAGGCCUCGUAAUCGGAAUGAGUACACUUUAAAUAUUUUAACGAGGAACAAUUGGAGGGCAAGUCUGGUGCCAGCAGCCGCGGUAAUUCCAGCUCCAAUAGCGUAUACUAAAAUUGUUGCGGUUAAAAAGCUCGUAGUUGCAUUUGUGCGCCGCGCUGUCGGUGCACCGCAUCCGCGGUGAUACUGACACGUUUGCGGAGCAUAUCGUCGGUGAGCCGACGGUCAAACGUCGGUUCAAUAUCAAAAUCCUAUCGCGGUGCUCUUCAGUGAGUGUCGAGAUGGGCCGACAAUUUUACUUUGAACAAAUUAGAGUGCUCAAAGCGGGCUCAAAAUGCUGCUUGAAUAUUUCGUGCAUGGAAUAAUAGAAUAUGAUCUCGGUUCUAUUUUGUUGGUUUUCAGAACUCCGAGGUAAUGAUUAAUAGGGAUAACUGGGGGCAUUCGUAUUGCGACGUUAGAGGUGAAAUUCUUGGAUCGUCGCAAGACGAACAUCAGCGAAAGCAUUUGCCAAAGGUGUUUUCAUCAAUCAAGAACGAAAGUUAGAGGUUCGAAGGCGAUUAGAUACCGCCCUAGUUCUAACCGUAAAUAUGUCAUCUAGCGAUCCGCCGACGUUACUACAAUGGCUCGGCGGGCAGCUUUCGGGAAACCAAAGAUUUUGGACUCCGGGGGGAGUAUGGUUGCAAAGCUGAAACUUAAAGGAAUUGACGGAAGGGCACCACCAGGAGUGGCCUGCGGCUUAAUUUGACGCAACACGCCAACACGGGAAAUCUCACCAGGCCCGGACACCGGAAGGAUUGACAGAUUAACAGCUCUUUCUUGAUUCGGUGGGUGGUGGUGCAUGGCCGUUCUUAGUUGGUGGAGCGAUUUGUCUGGUUAAUUCCGGUAACGAACGAGACUCUAGCCUGCUAAAUAGGCGUCGUCAUUUAGGUGUGCGUGGCUCACGUCACGCAACUCACUGGCGACGUAUUAAAAUUCUUCUUAGAGGGACCGGCGGCUUCGAGCCGCACGAGAUUGAGCAAUAACAGGUCUGUGAUGCCCUUAGAUGUCCUGGGCCGCACGCGCGCUACACUGAAGGAAUCAGCAUGUUCUCCCAGGCCUAGAGGCCCGGGCAACCCGUUGAAACUCCUUCGUGCUGGGGAUUGGGGUUUGCAAUUAUCCCCCAUAAACGAGGAAUUCCUAGUAAGCGCGAGUCAUAAGCUCGCGUUGAUUACGUCCCUGCCCUUUGUACACACCGCCCGUCGCUACUACCGAUUGAAUGAUUUAGUGAGGUCUUCGGACCGACACGCGGUGGCUUCACGGCCGUCGGCGUUGCUGGGAAGUUGACCAAACUUGAUCAUUUAGAGGAAGUAAAAGUCGUAACAAGGUUUCCGUAGGGGAACCUGCGGAAG